GGAAUUUUCCGCAAUGGGCGAAAGCCUGACGGAGCAACGCCGCGUGAGGGAUGGAGGCCUCUGGGCUGUAAACCUCUUUUAUCAAGGAAGAAGAUCUGACGGUACUUGAUGAAUAAGCCACGGCUAAUUCCGUGCCAGCAGCCGCGGUAAUACGGGAGUGGCAAGCGUUAUCCGGAAUUAUUGGGCGUAAAGCGUCCGCAGGCGGUCUUUUAAGUCUGUCGUCAAAGCGUGGAGCUUAACUCCAUUUCUGCGAUGGAAACUGGGAGACUAGAGUGUGGUAGGGGCAGAGGGAAUUCCCGGUGUAGCGGUGAAAUGCGUAGAUAUCGGGAAGAACACCAGUGGCGAAGGCGCUCUGCUGGGCCAUAACUGACGCUCAUGGACGAAAGCCAGGGGAGCGAAAGGGAUUAGAUACCCCUGUAGUCCUGGCCGUAAACGAUGAACACUAGGUGUCGGGGGAAUCGACCCCCUCGGUGUCGUAGCCAACGCGUUAAGUGUUCCGCCUGGGGAGUACGCACGCAAGUGUGAAACUCAAAGGAAUUGACGGA
rnacentral:rRNA from 1 species